rnacentral:lncRNA from 1 species
UUGGGAAGGGCAGUGGACCGCUUUGGGGCAGGACUUAUGAGAUUUUGCAUGGUUCCCCUUUGUUGUCAUCAGCAUAUGCAGCCCUUAUUGAGAACGAGUGACUGUGACAGAUAAUUGAGGUGAAAUGGUCAGCAAUCCCCGCCCAGAAGGAAUUUAUAUGAUAUAUAAAGAAGUCUUCCUUUGAAUUCAUUGUGUUUCAUCCCAAAUACAACUGAGAUAUCAGUAAGUAAAGACUGUGUAAUAAAGAUACAGCUUUAUUAUAGUAUAAGCA